rnacentral:tRNA from 1 species
GGGGAUUUAGCUCAAUGGUAGAGCGCUUGCCUAGCAAGCACAAGGUCCUGGGUUCGGUCCCCAGCUCCG